rnacentral:rRNA from 1 species
AGAGUUUGAUUCUGGCUCAGGAUGAACGCUAGCGGCAGGCUUAACACAUGCAAGUCGAGGGGCAGCGGGGUGUAGCAAUACACUGCCGGCGACCGGCGCACGGGUGCGUAACGCGUAUGCAACCUACCCAUAACAGGGGCAUAACACUGAGAAAUUGGUACUAAUUUUCCAUAACAUUCGAAGAGGCAUCUCUUUGGGUUGAAAACUCCGGUGGUUAUGGAUGGGCAUGCGUUGUAUUAGCUAGUUGGUGGGG